rnacentral:lncRNA from 1 species
GAGGAUCGAACAGUUUAUCUGCGAACUUGUCUCUUACAGAGCCAAGAGAGCCCGCCUCAGGUUUCUCUUUGAGGGACUCAAUGGCGUGGUCUCCGUCCUCCCAGGGAGACAGAGAUGCAAUUGGUUCAAAAGGCAUAAUCAAAAGACCUGAAUUCAUCAAAAUCAUAACCAGGGCGUUGUAUUCUCUUGGUUAUUCUCGAAGUGGGGACCUUCUGCAAAAAGAAUCUGGAAUAUCCUUGCACUCAACUGUUGUGGAUUUGUUUAGGCAGCAAGUGGUUGAUGGGAAAUGGGAUGAGAGUGUGGACACAUUGCAUAGGAUUGGGCUUUCAGACGAAUACAUUGUAAAAUCAGCAUCCUUCAUGAUAUUGGAACAGAAGUUCCUUGAACUUCUAAAAAAGGAAAAAAUCAAGGAUGCUCUAUAUACACUAAGGAAUGAGAUUGUGCCCCUUAGCAUCAAUGUCAGUCGUGUCCAUGAGCUUGCUGCCUACAUUAUCUUUCCUUCAUCGGGUGCUGUCAGUGGGCCAUCAAGUCAAGAUGCUGCAGGUUCUAAGUCACAGUCUGCAAUUCUGGAGAAAUUGCAGAAGUUGUUUCCUGCAGCAAUCAUGAUACCUGAAAAAAGAUUAGAACAAUUAGUUGAACAGGCCCUUGAUGUUCAGCGAGAUGCAUGUGCUUAUCAUAACACUUUGGAUAGUGAACUCUCCUUGUACUCUGAUCACCAUUGUGGAACAAACCACAUUCCUUCUCAAACAUUGCAGGUUAGGAAAUAUAUUACCAAUUCAAGGUUGUUUAUGCUAAACCUUCUUGUCCUCUUUAUUUCUUUGCUCAAUUGGUCCUUUAAUGGCAGUGGACCUUUUGACAUUGUUCAUAGAAAAUGCAAAUCAUUGGGUUAUUAAAAAAGGUUAUUAAUUGAAUCUAACUGAUUCUACGGUGUGGUUUUUGAGUAGGACUUUUUAUAUCUCAAUUUUCUAUAACAAUAACAACAAACAACCCACUAUACAGGAAGAAGGAAAAUAAUUCUGGACUUUUUAUAUCUCAACUUUUAUAUUAGUCUCAUUUUCCUAUAAAAAGAGUGACUUUUAACUUAUUCUCAAUGUCUCAUCCCUUGAUAGGGCUACAAUUUGGGUGGGUUGAACUGAACCCAAUUUUUUACCGGCUUGGGCAACUUAAUCUGCAAUUUAGGUUGGGCUUGGGCAAAAAAAAUGUCAACUUGUAUUAAGUCUGGGUUGGGCUUGGGUUAAGGGCUCCGGCAAACCUAGCCUAGCCUGAACCCUAAUUAUAUAUUUACAUAAAAUUUAAAUUAUAAUUAUAUAUAUGUGUAAAUAUAUAUUAUUUAAUAGUAGUGUACUAAUAUCCUUUUCAUUUUUAUUAAGGUAUAUUUAUUGUUUUAAAUGUUAGGGAAUGAUAUAGAGUUAAGAAUUGAUGCAUCUUUAAAGAUUUGGUUAUUUUAGUGUCAUGGAAAAUUAAAUUGUCUUUCUUGUUUUAAUUUUAGAUGUACUUUUGCUAUUAUGUGAAAGAUUGGUUAUCAACUUUUAAGUUACUUUGAGAAACGUAUGAAAAUCAUUACUCUUUCUGAUAAUUGUGAUGGGUUGUUUGAAUUGUUGAUUAUGAAUUGAAGUUUAUUUUGAAAUAUGUAGGAAGUAUAACUUUUACACUUAAUUUGAUUUUGACUUGGAAAUUACUUGAAAAUGUCACUUAAUCUUAUGUGAUGGUCUUUUGUUUUGUUUUGUUUUUGUUUUAUUUUCAAACUUUUGAUUCAUUUUAUUGAUUAUAGAAUAGAGUUGUAGCUAUUGGAUCUAUUAACUAAAUGAAUAUUAUAAAUUUACAUAUUAAUUAACAUAUUGAUAUGCAAAGGUUAAUUAAAUAAAUUUUACUAAUAAUUCUUUAUUUAUUAACUAUAGGUUGAUUGGUAAAAUAUGUAGGGAAAUGGAUGUUAAGCUUAGUGAUGCUUCCUAACUUGACCAACCCAAAUAUAUAUUUACUAACUUGAGCCUAACUUAAUUUGAACCUAAGUUUAGAGGGUUCGGUUGAAUAGCUUGUGUUGAUCCUUGGAUUGGGUUUGGUUGGGCUUGGGCAAAUGAAUUUUAUGUAGGCUUGGGUUAACUAUCAACCCCGACCUAACAUGCCCAAGGAGCGCCCCUCUCCCUUGUGAAUCCUUCACUCUACUCUAAAUUUGUGAGAUAUGUGGUGGUUGUCCAUGGCCAAUAUACUUUGUAGAUAAACCACAAUUAGUGGAUUAAAUACUAUCUUAAACCCACCCAACUGAUGGGCUGAAUGUUUAAGAUAUUUAUGGCUGGCCUUGUUUAGAAAAUUGACUUCUAACCAACGUUGCAUUAGUCUUGUAUCACAGUGGUGGAUGGCCUAAUCUAACCUGAAAAUCUAAAUGUAUGCCUACGAAAUUACACAUUUAUUUUAGAUAAUAUAAUUGCCCUGCCCUCCCUCCCUUGUUUAUCUCGCCUUUUUUAUAUAUCUUCUCUAUUUGCCUAUUAAUAAUAAUAAUCAUGCAAACCAUCCAUUGGAAAAUUUAGUCCUUGCUAAAGUUAGAAUCAUUGCAUGACUUGUGCCAAAAAAGAAGGUUAAUACCUGUGAUGUGCUUUUGGUGAAGAGGCAUUACAAAGCCCUCAAAAGGGUGUGGUGUGUUAUGUACAAGGAGAGUAAGAGAAUUAGUGACUCAUCUUUUUCAACACUGUCCACUAGAAUUGGGGUUGUAACGUGAAGACUUGCUGAGGUGGAUUGGGAUCCUAGAAGCAUGGAGGAGAUGUUGAUAAUUUUAUUUAGAAGUAGAAAAUAUGAUAUAAUGAAAUUGAUGGCCUAGAAUUAGCUUACAUGUAUGUGGAUCCUUCUAAUAGAAAGUAAAAGAAAUAGCUAAUAACAAAAUUUCUAGUUUAGCAAAAGAAUGCUGAAAGGAACUUUUGAGAACUCCUUAGUGACACAUCUAACAAGUUAACAAGUAAUAUGCUAUCUCGCAAGCAUCAUCCACCAUUCUUUGGUUGCCCAAAAAAUUUAUUGUUCAGUUUCUAGGUUUGUCAAGUUUCUAUUAACUCAAGGUUCAAGUAAAAGAACUAUGAGAUUGUGGAGAAAAAGCGAGAUAUGGAGGAAACUCUCAAUAUGGAUAGGAGAUGAAGGCAAAUGAACUGGUGGUAGAGGGAUGUCCCCAAACCAAAAGUCUUCUCAAACGCUGAAUAACAAGGCAAGCAUUGACAUGAAUGUGGCAAAUGAAGUCCUGGUUGCCCUGGUCCAUCCUUUUAAAGGGACGCUAAAGCAAGUUCCUUACUUCAAAGUUCACAUCCCACCCAAUACUAUACAAGGCGUUAAUGCUUUUAGUAUGCUCCCUAUGGAACCGUCACAACCACUUACCCACUAGGCCUAUUCCUUGCAACAAUACCUACUAGGCCUAAACCUCCUUAAAAUUUAGGACCACUACUUGAUUCCUCCAAUCAAAUGGACUUGACAGGGGUCACCAAACCCCCCUAACCAUAAAGAAGUGGCGAUAUAAGAAAAGUUCAAAUAAAAAAUAAAUUAAAAAAAAGGGAUGCAUUACUAAGAUGUUACAGGCGGCACCAAUUGAGAAAAAGAUGAGAAAUUAAUUAAGAUGGACCAGAAUUUCUCCAACUAUGUUCAUCAUUAGUUGUACUCUUAUGCUAUGUUUGGUUCUUGGAAAGUUUGAGGGAAAAUGCAAAGGAAAAAAUAGGGAGGAAAAAUGGAAAGAAAGAAAAAGUGGAGGAAAAUAAAAAAUAUACAUGAAGUUAAUAAAUUACUUUUAUAUGGUUCUUCAAACUCAUUUCACUUAUUUUUCCUCUUCUAUAUAAAGAUUAAACAAUUUGAAAAUGCAUAGUUUCUAACUAAUUUUAAUUAUUUUGAUUUUCUUUUGUAUUUUCCAUAGUGAAACCAUAUAUGAGAAAUUCAUUUUCCUUUGUAUUUUUUUUUCUCUCCUUAAGUACUUUCUAAGAACCAAACAUAGCCUCAUUGUUUUCAUCAUUUUUUGUCACUCCAUUAUUAUGAAUCUAUGAUUUAUUAAUAUAAAAACUUUACUCUUAUUUUUUCAUCUUCAUCAACCACUUUUCAAUCUACUUAAACAUGUGAUAUAUGACUUAAUGCACGCCAAUUGCUGUUAUGGAUUUUAUUAGCUUGAUUAUUUUGGAGUGCUAGCGUGAUUCUUCUUUAUUCUAAUGGAGCAGGUGCUGCAAGCACAUUGUGAUGAAGUUUGGUUUUUGCAAUUUUCACAUAAUGGGAAAUAUUUAGCCUCAUCAUCCAAAGAUCGAUUAGCAAUUAUAUGGGAGGUAACUUUUUUCCCUUAAGCUUUGUUGAGCAACUUCAAUUUUUGUUUUUUGGAUGUACUGUUUGCAACUCAUUGUUGUGCUGCCCUCCCUCUCCAACGUUACUUGGAAGCUGAUUGACUCACAAAAAAGACCAGUUACAUGGUUGAGCUAUUCAAGUUUUCUUGGCAGUAACCAAUCCAUGAUGUCAUAAUGACAUUAUAAUAAAUUGAUUUAUAAGUAUAUCAGGGCUACAGCAAGUUGUUUGUCAAAAUUUAUUUUGGUUUUCCUGGAAUAUCAAAGAAGAUGAGGAUGAAUCUGCAACUUCCAUCUAUGGCAAACCCACCACGGAAGAAACCUUUGUUUGCUUGUAUUCAUCAUAAUCUGUAAUGGGUGAAUGAUGGAGCCAAUUUAUGCUUGUAUCCUCUAUUAAAUACCUAAAGGAUAGAAGCUACAGUCCUUGGUUCUGGCUUCCUAGAUCUAAAAUUGAUGAAAGAAAUCAUGGACUGGGUUUCCUGAAUUNNNNNNNNNNNNNNNNNNNNNNNNNNNNNNNNNNNNNNNNNNNNNNNNNNNNNNNNNNNNNNNNNNNNNNNNNNNNNNNNNNNNNNNNNNNNNNNNNNNNUCAAUGAUCUGUUCACAACUGUUUUUAGUAUUAAUGGUUUUGGGGGCUUGCUGAGCCGGUUGAUAGUCAAGAUAGUAAAACCAUCCAGUUGGUUCAGACCAAUUUUUUAAGAUAUUGGUCAACUCUAUUUGAAUUUGUAAAAAAAAAAAUUCAGAAUACUUUUAUAACUCUGCAGUAAUAUCAGAAUAUUAUGGGCUAUGAUUUCUCCUGUUAUGUCCAUGUGUUUGUGUGUGUAUUUAUAUUUCUAUGUAUGUUUCAAAGUACAUACAAACAGCGUCCCUAAUUUUAUCUGACUGGAAAUACUUUUCUUUGAAUGUCUUCUAAAUAUGAUACUGGAUACAUUAUUUGACCUCCUGAUGUGGUGUGGUGAACAAAGGUAUAGGUAAGAUAUAGGGAAAUGAGUUUUUGGUUGCUUUUUGUUAAGUUUUUAUCCCCUUCAGUCUUCCUUUUCACAGAAUUCUUUCCUAAUAUUUUAGUGUGAUACACAGGACUGGAACUCCCUGUUUUUUCUUUUAAUUGAUAACUAAGAGUUAUCGAUAAGAAAAAAGGUUGUGAAGCAUCAGCAAGGCCUAUUGCCCUGUUCUAUUGAAACUUAAAGUAAAAUAGUAGUAAGAAUGUCCAUUACAAGCUGUCUUAGAUAUCAAAUGACACCUUAGUGACAUAUUCUUGUGCUCUAUGCAUACUUGCACUAAGAAUUUGAAUCCUGUCAAUAUUUCCCACUGUUGCUGCAUAUGUUUUUCCAUUAUUAUUGUUUUCCUGAGUUACAGCAGAAAUUUUAUGACUUAUUGUUUUUUAUUUUGAAAAUAUUUUUCUCUCUUUUGAUUAAUGAAAAAUUGUACCUUUGUAGGUGAAAGAUGAUGGUGAAGUGUCAUUGAAGCAUAAACUAACUGGUCACCAGAGAGAAGUGUCCAUUGUUUCAUGGAGCCCUGAUGACCAGCAACUCCUCACAUGUGGGGUGGAGGAAAGUAUCAGACGCUGGGAUGUCAAUUCUGGUGAAUGCCUCCACAUUUAUGAAAAGGCUGGUGUUGGCUUAAUUUCCUGUGGAUGGUUUCCUGGUGGUAAAGGGGUAUUUUCUGGCAUGACUGACAAGAGCAUCUGUUUAUGGGAUUUGGAUGGUAGAGAGUUGGAAUGUUGGAAGGGGCAGCGGACACUCAAAAUUUCAGAUAUAGCCAUAACUGAUGAUGGGAAGAGAAUCAUAACCAUGUGUAGAGAAAAUGCAAUUCUUUUGCUUGACAGGGAGGCUAAAUGUGAGAGACUGAUUAGGGAGAACCAAAUGAUCACUUCAUUCUCUCUAUCUAAGGACAACAAGUUCUUGCUGGUUAAUCUUUUAAACCAAGAAAUCCAUCUUUGGCGCUUAGGAGGUGAUCCUGAUGUUGUUUCCAGGUACAGGGGUCAUAAGCGGACUCGAUUUCUCAUUAGAUCUUGUUUUGGAGGACUUGAGCAAGCAUUUAUCGCUAGUGGGAGUGAGGACUCAAAGGUGCGUUCUUUUUUUUUUAUUUUUUUAUUUUUUUUGUCCUUUUCAUUUUGAUGGAAUUAUAUUUAGGGGCUGUUGGAUGACACUAUUCCCUGAAAAAAGUUAUACCAGAUUUUAGUUUAGUAUCUUCAAGUGUGCUGCACAACUAUGUUCUACAUGAAAAAUGACAAGUAUCACCAGUCCACACAAGCAUCUAGUUAGCUUGUUGCAUAAUAUGAAAUGUAAAAUGAAUGUAAAAUACGUCCUUGAGGCCUAGCUCAAGUGGUAAAGGGAUGGGGAGGGUUUGUGGGAGGUUUCAGGUACAAGUCCCAAUGGGGACAGAAAUUUACCAAUAAAAAAAUAUAAAAUAUAAAAUACAUGCACAAUUUGAUGGUCUUUUGGCACUUUUUAAGAAAAAUUAAUGUUCAAAUAAAAAAUGCAUUCAAAUGAUCCACCUUCAUUUACCGCUUUCAUAAUCUAACACUAUUUAUUUAAGUUCUCUACAUGGUUAAGCUUGUUCAAUUACAAUUUAUUUAUUUAUUUAUUUUUUCUUCUUCAAGAAACAUUAUCACUAUGUUUGGUUUCAAGAAAGAACCGAAGAAAGAAAAAAAUGCUCAAGGAAAAUUAUUUUCUUACGUUUAGUUUUAUUAUGAAAAAUAUGAAAAAACUUAAUCAAACAUAAUUAAAAUUAGUAAGAAUUUUAUGCAUUUUCAAAGUAUUUAAUCUUGAUAUAGAAGAGUUAAGUGAAAUAAAUUUGAAAUAAUAUAUAAAAAUGAUUUAUUGACUUUAAAUCUAUUUUUUAUUUUCUUUCACUUCUUCUUUCCUUCUUUUCUUCUCUACUUUCUUUUCUUGCAUUUUCCCACAAAUUUUCCAAGAACCGAAGUAGCCUUAAUGUCUCUCUCUCUCUCUCCCUCCCUCUCUCUCUGUCUCGAUUAUUCUAAGAAAAUUUAAAAGGUAUGAAAUUGUAGAAUUGUGUCUGUGCCUUACUAGCCAAUGUGAUACAUGAGAAAUGAAUGUUUAACUCAAUACUAAAUGAAAAUGAUGUAUAUUCUUUCCAAGUGCGACAAAAUUAUUGAUGUAAGAGAAAUGCAUGUUUUUCAUGUCCUGUUGAGAUGUUUUCUCCUAGAGAAAGAAAGCUUAGACCAGACUUUUUUCCUUACAGUUAGAGUUAUAAUGCAGCCCCUAGACUUUAUACGGAAAAAUGCAAGGAUUGUCUGCUUGUGGCAUAAAAUUGUAUAUGUUGCCAAUAGAAUACUCUGUAGAAUUAACUCAACAUGGUUCUGUUUGAGAUUAUCAUAACCAGUGAUGUUAUGUUAUUGAGGACUGCAGAAAUUAAUGCUUUGAUUAGUUGUCAAAAGAUGACCGACGUAUAUAGUUUACAAUGGAUGGGAACUUUGGAAUUUCUCAAGGAAAACUAAAAGCUGUAUACUCGAUGAGUCCAUAGUUUCAACCUUCAAUGACAUACCAAAUUGAAUCAGCCAUUGGUAUGAAGCGAUAACAAGGAUCCUGAAGUGCAUACAUAGAUUUACUAAUGUCAUGCAAUAGGAUCAGAAGAAGUAGCUGCAUCUCUCGACCUCAUGCAUAUACACAGACACGGGCAUUUACUUUGAUUUGCUUCUCCUAAACGAUUUAGUAGGCUUGUUACUGUGAGGAAGUCAUGCCUAAUUUGACAAUUCAUGUUUGCCUGGUUCUUGUUUUAUAGGUGUAUGUAUGGCACAGAGACACUCCAGAGCCUUUAUUUGCUCUGCCUGGGCAUUCUGGAGCAGUUAAUUGUGUGAGCUGGAGUCCAACAAAUCCUCACAUGUUGGCGUCUGGGAGUGAUGACUACACGAUACGAAUAUGGGGUUUAGACCAAGUUAAGCUCAAGAACAGGGACAAUCAAAGGAAUGGCAUCAACCACCACUCAAAAGGGAAAACCUGAAACCAUCACCUGACUGCUGAAACAUUCCUCCAAAUCAUGGUGGGGAUAGUAAC